rnacentral:misc_RNA from 1 species
CACCGCUCAAGAACUCGUUUCUUGGUGUUGGGGCAUGCGGGUUAACACCCGCAGCCCUCAAAUGCAGCGGCGGUCACCCGUGGAGGUAUUCUCCCCUAGCGCAGUAGAGCAAGCAUCAGCUGCCGCUUCGGGGCCCCCGGGAGGCCUGCCGUUAAGAACGCCAGCUACCCGUAGUUGCCGAACCAUCAUCCGG